GGGGGUAAGAUUGUCUUUCAAGCAAUAGGCACUAUCAAUAAUGAGAACCCUCGAGAAGGGGGAGUUUUCAUAUUUUUCUGGUUAGCCCUCGAAGAGAGAGACAGAGAGUGGGAGUGUAUGCAAGACUGAGCCGACCCAAACCCGGAGACUUGGCGGAUUCUCCGCCGUCAAACCACCGCCCCGAUGGUGUUGGGGAACUUUUCGUUCUCCCCUUUUGAUCCCUGAUCUCGUUUGCCCUCAAUUCCAGCCUAGAGAAGAAGAAUGAACGAAGAAGCUUGGAAGACAGUCUCGAGGUCGACUGGGAUCUCCGAUUCCGGCAAUCCCGGUUGGGUUUUCACCCAGAGCACGAAGCUCCAUCCUCCCGGGCACGAACCCACACAACGACUUGCUUCGAUUUACUCGAAAAAGAAGAAAACCGACGAUCGAAAGAAGGAGUGAGAGAUUGGGGUUCGAGGAAUUUAGGGGUGCUGUUGACUGACUGACUAUGCAGACGAUAAUGAUGUCAUCAAUAAAUAUCCAUCACCUUGAAGCUAAGGGAGUUAUAUAUACUCCUUGCUACUCGGAGCUAAAUCUUCUUCUUGGUGCUCCAAAGCAACCGAAAAACACUGAAUGUGGCUAUUACGUAAGCGCUUUAUGAGGGACUUAAUAUUUGGAUAUAUUCAACCUGCACUAGCUAAGGUAUGUUAUAUAUUCAUUUUAAUACGACCUUAUGUAUAUUAAUUUUUCUUCUUCUUGUUUAUUUCUUAGUGAGAUGUAAAUGUGGAGACUACAUAUCUUCAAGAGGAAAUCGAUGAAGUCCGUGAUGAAUGGGUGGAAUUCGUGGCGACGAGUACCUUUAGACUUUUGCAAAGUGG